ACCACAUCCUGAAGACAGAGCUUUUUCACGCAGUCACACCUGCAGCUUCCGGAGGCCCAUUGUUUUACAGCACAAAACCAAUCUGUUUUAAUCGCUGAACUGAAACUUUCAAAACUUCUGUCCCCCACCCCUGGCCUACACCUGGGGUGAUGCGGUUGUGGGGUUUGGCUUUAUUAACCCUACCCUACCUCUGUGAGUCCCAUUUGUCUUGAGCCCACUGUUUUGAACAAAGGACUCUUAAUCCGACCUAUAUUGAGUGGCAUUCUCCUGGGUCCUCCCGGCACAGCAGAGGAAGGUCUCUGCUCCAAUUUCCUUUUCUGUUGCUGUCAUCAACCGGAAGAUCAAAUGCAAAUCAGGGAGAAAGCAUAUUUUAGUUCAGAGGUUUAUUAUCUUGGAAGUCAGGAACCUGGAGGCAGGAACUGAGGCAGAAAUCACAGAAGAGCGCUGCUUACCUAACUAACCUGCUCAGCCUGCUUUCUAAUAGAACCCAGGACGACCGCGACAGAUCCGCUGUGGCCCCUCCCCCAUCAACAGUCAAGAGAAUGCCUCACAGGCUUGCUCAGAGGGAUCAACAGUCAAGAGAACGCCUCACAGGCUUGCUCAGAGGGAUCAACAGUCAAGAGAGUGCCUCACAGGCUUGCUCAGAGGGAUCAACAGUCAAGAGAAAGCCUCACAGGCUUGCUCAGAGGGCAGCCAGGCUGCUGAAAUUCCCCAGCGAGGUGCCCUUGUCCUAGGUGACUCCUAGUUUGGGUCAGCUUGACAAAAACUAACCAGUGUCGUCUCCCCCUCCCCCCUCCACCCCUCCCCCGUCCCCUCCUCCCCUCCCCGCCGCAGCCUAUUCCAGGCUGGGUGGCCUCUGAUCUUCCAGGCCAGUCUUCUGUCUCCACCUCUCAUCUCUGUGUGAGAGACCCAGCACAGCAAGCGCUUAACCCACUGAGCCAUCUCUGCAACCACCUCCGUGCUUCUUAGAAUUAAAAACCAAUUUUGCCAACUUUAAAACUGAUUUAUGCCUGUGAGUGUUUUGCGUGCAUCCAUUAUGGGCACCAUGCGUGUGCAGUGCCAGAAGAUGCCAGAAGAGGGCGUCAGAGCCUUUGCACCUGGAAUUACAGAUGGUUGUGAACUACCAUGUGGAUGCUAGGACCUAGAGAAUAACUCUUCAAAGAACUUCUCGUGAUAUUCUGGCAAGUUCUGGCUACUUCUGUGGACUCUGACUGGUUAGCAGAGCCUCACAGUUUCUUCUGGAUUGAACUGCCAUUGCUGAUUUGAUUGCCGAAUGGACUGGACUAAUGACAACACUGAUUAGCUCCAAAGAACUAUUUCUAAACAGAGGUCAGGAGAGGGCGCUGGAUUCCCUGGAACUAGAGUUAUGGAUGGU